GAUGAAGAACGCAGCGAAAUGCGAUACGUAAUGUGAAUUGCAGAAUUCAGUGAAUCAUCGAGUCUUUGAACGCACAUUGCGCCCCCUGGUAUUCCGGGGGGCAUGCCUGUCCGAGCGUCAUUGCUGCCCUCAAGCCCGGCUUGUGUGUUGGUCUCGUCCCCCUUCCCGGGGGGGCGGGCCCGAAAGGCAGCGGCGGCACCGCGUCCGGUCCUCGAGCGUAUGGGGCUUUGUCACCCGCUCUGUAGGCCCGGCCGGCGCUUGCCGAUCAACCAAAACUUUUUUCCAGGUUGACCUCGGAUCAGGUAGGGAUACCCGCUGAACUUAAGCAUAUCAAUAAGCGGAGGA
rnacentral:misc_RNA from 1 species